CCUUCUUUCCCUCUCUUUUUCCUUCCUCCUUUUUCUUCAAGAGCGUGUAGGCGGCUUGCUAAGUCUUGCGUGAAAUCUCGGGGCUCAACCCCGAGCGGUCGUGGGAAACUGGCAGGCUAGAGUGCGGGAGAGGAGAAUGGAAUUCCUGGUGUAGCGGUGAAAUGCGCAGAUAUCAGGAAGAACACCCGUGGCGAAGGCGGUUCUCUGGAACGCAACUGACGCUGAGACGCGAAAGCGUGGGGAGCAAACAGGA
rnacentral:rRNA from 1 species